rnacentral:rRNA from 1 species
AUUGAACGCUGGCGGCAUGCUUUACACAUGCAAGUCGAACGGUAACAGGCCUUCGGGUGCUGACGAGUGGCGAACGGGUGAGUAAUGCAUCGGAACGUGCCCAGAGGUGGGGGAUAACGCAGCGAAAGCUGUACUAAUACCGCAUGUGAUCUGAGGAUGAAAGCGGGGGACCAGGCAGCAAUGUUUGGCCUCGCGCCUUUGGAGCGGCCGAUGUCAGAUUAGGUAGUUGGUGGGGUAAAGGCCUACCAAGCCGACGAUCUGUAGCUGGUCUGAGAGGACGACCAGCCACACUGGGACUGAGACACGGCCCAGACUCCUACGGGAGGCAGCAGUGGGGAAUUUUGGACAAUGGGCGCAAGCCUGAUCCAGCAAUGCCGCGUGCGGGAAGAAGGCCUUCGGGUUGUAAACCGCUUUUGUACGGAACGAAAAGGCUCUGGCUAAUACCUGGGGCUGAUGACGGUACCGGAAGAAUAAGCACCGGCUAACUACGUG